AUGUAUAGUCAGAGAGCCGUGUCUCUCGAGAGUCAGGUUUUUGUACGGCGACUCAAUGAGUUUGUAUCACUGUGGUACACGUUCGGUGGAGGAACCAGACUGGAAUUUGGAUGUGAUGUCCGUCCCACCCUGACGGUGCUGCCCCCCUCCAGGGAGCAGCUGCAGCAGGGGACGGCCACGCUCAUGUGCCUGGCCAGCAAGGGCUUCCCCUCAGACUGGAGUCUGUCCUGGAAGGUGGACGGCAGCAGCAGCAGCUGGGAGCAGAGCAGCAGCCCCGGGGUGCUGCAGACGGACGGCCACUACAGCUGGAGCAGCACCCUGAGGCUCCCUGCAGACCAGUGGAGGAAGGUGGGCUCUGUGACCUGUGAGGCCACCCAGGGCUCCCAGUCUCCUCUGUCAGAGACUCUGAGGAGAGACCAGUGUUCCCAGUCCUGAGCC